rnacentral:rRNA from 1 species
UACCGAGUUUUCAACUCCCAAACCCUUAUGUGAACCUACCUAUCGUUGCUUCGCGCGUGACUCGCCCCAGCCGGACGCGGACUGGACCAGCGGCCGCCGGGGACCAUCAAACUCUUGUAUUAUCAGCAUCUUCUGAAUACGCCGCAAGGCAAAACAAAUAAAUUAAAACUUUCAACAACGGAUCUCUUGGCUCUGGCAUCGAUGAAGAACGCAGCGAAAUGCGAUAAGUAAUGUGAAUUGCAGAAUCCAGUGAAUCAUCGAAUCUUUGAACGCACAUUGCGCCCGCCAGCAUUCUGGCGGGCAUGCCUGUUCGAGCGUCAUUUCAACCCUCGACCUCCCUUUGGGGAAGUCGGCGUUGGGGACCGGCAGCACACCGCCGGCCCUGAAAUGGAGUGGCGGCCCGUCCGCGGCGACCUCUGCGUAGUAAACCAACUCGCACCGGAACCCCGACGUGGCCACGCCGUAAAACACCCAACUUCUGAACGUUGACCUCGAAUCAGGUAGGACUACCCGCUGAACUUAAGCAUAUCAA